GCUCUAGUAGUUCAGUUGGUUACAACGACAGCCUUCACUCAAGAGAUUGCAGGUUCGAAACGUGCGUGGAGCA